AAGUAUCAGGAAGAUAACAACAUUUAUUUUGGACCAAUAUUUUCAGUAUUACCUUCUAAUCUUGAUGAGAGAAGGGAUUAGAUUUAUUUUAAUGCAGUGUAUUUCUAAUACCAGUCUUAAUGCCUGACAUGGAGUAGGCAGUUAAAUAUUUCUUUUCUGACUGACUAUACAUAUUUCAUUAAAUCUGCAUAAAAGCUCAAGGAGGUAGAUGGGAUACAGCUAAAGAAGUUCUUAAGCAGUAUUUCACAGCUUUAGUAAAAUUAGAAAAGAUCUCAAAAACCUGU
rnacentral:miRNA from 1 species